rnacentral:sRNA from 1 species
UAAAUAGGAUUCCCUUAGUAAUGGCGAAUGAACAGGGAUCAGCUCAGUAUGGAAAUCGGGGCUUCCCAGCCUUGAAUUGUAGUCUCAAGAGGUAUCGCCAACGGAGGCGCAGAUGUAAGCCUCUUGGAAAAGAGCAUCAAUGAGGGUGAGAAUCCCGUUUGUCAUCUGCAGUCCCCCGUGCACGGUGUAUCUUCUAAGAGUCGCGUUCCUCGGGAUUGGAGCGUAAAGUGGGUGGUAAAUUUCAUCUAAGGCUAAAUAUGGGUUCGAGACCGAUAGCAAACAAGUACCAUGAGGGAAAGAUGAAAAGGACUUUGAAAAGAGAGUUAAAAGUGCCUGAAAUUGCUGAAAGGGAAGCGAAUGGAACCAGUGCUCUUGGCGAGAUUGUUGUGCGCUAUGGUGAUUGCUGGCUGCUUCAGCGCAAGCGGGGUAGUUGGUACUGAGCCUGCCGCGCGCAGUGUUUCUUACCUUGUGCGUCACCGUCGGUUCACAGGCGAGGAUACUUCUGAGGACAUGGUAACUCUUCCACGGAGGUGUGAAUGUCUUUGGUAAUACUCGUUUGUAGACCGCUCACCUUCGGGUUACGAUGACUAAAUGGUUCUAUUCGACCCGUCUUGAAACACGG